UUAGAGUUUGAUCCUGGCUCAGAGCGAACGCUGGCGGCGUGCUUAACACAUGCAAGUCGAACGCGCAGUUUUCUGUAGCAAUACAGGAAGCGGGCGCGUGGCGAACGGGUGCGUAACACGUGGGCAACUUACCCUCAAGUGGGGAAUAACCCAGCGAAAGUUGGGCUAAUACCGCAUAACAUUCCGAUGGCUGCUGCUGUUGGAAUCAAAGGUCGCAAGACCGCUGGAGGUGGGGCCCGCGCCCGAUUAGCUUGUUGGUGAGGUAACGGCUCACCAAGGCUAUGAUCGGUAGCCGGUCUGAGAGGAUGGCCGGCCACACUGGAACUGAGACACGGUCCAGACUCCUACGGGAGGCAGCAGUGGGGAAUCUUGCGCAAUGGGCGAAAGCCUGGCGCAGCAACGCCGCGUGGGGGAUGAAGCUUUUCGGAGUGUAAACCCCUUUCGACCCGGAUGAAUCCCCGCAAGGGAUUGACAGUACGGGUAUAAGAAGCCCCGGCUAACUACGUGCCAGCAGCCGCGGUACGC
rnacentral:rRNA from 1 species